rnacentral:rRNA from 1 species
AUUAAACGCUGGCGGCAUGCCUUACACAUGCAAGUCGAACGGCAGCACGGGGGCGAACCCUGGUGGCGAGUGGCGAACGGGUGAGUAAAGCAUCGGAACGUGCCCUGGAGUGGGGGAGUAACGUAGCGAAAGUUACGCUAAUACCGCAUAUUCUGUGAGCAGGAAAGCAGGGGAUCGCAAGACCUUGCGCUCUGGGAGCGGCCGAUGUCGGAUUAGCUAGUUGGUGGGGUAAAGGACCUACCAAGGCGACGAUCCGUAGCGGGUCGUGAGAGGAUGAUCCGCCACACUGGGACUGAGACACGGCCCACGACUCCUACGGGAGGCAGCAGUGGGGAA